GUGUCAGCCGCCGCGGUAAAACGUAGGAGGCGAGCGUUAUCCGGAUUUACUGGGCGUAAAGCGCGUGCAGGCGGUUGGACAAGUCAUGUGUGAAAGCUCUCGGCUUAACCGGGAGAGGCCAUGUGAUACUGCCCAACUAGAGUCAAGUAGAGGCAAGCAGAAUUCCGGGUGUAGUGGUGAAAUGCGUAGAGAUCCGGAGGAAUACCAGUGGCGAAGGCGGCUUGCUGGACUUGAACUGACGCUCAGACGCGACAGCAUGGGGAGCGAACGGGAUUAGAAACCCUCGUAGUCC
rnacentral:rRNA from 1 species